rnacentral:rRNA from 1 species
AACGAACGCUGGCGGCAUGCCUAACACAUGCAAGUCGAACGAGCCCACCGGGUCUAGUGGCGCCCGGGUGCGUCACGCGUGGGAACCUGCACUUAGGUUCGGACUAACUCCCCGAAAGGGGUGCUAAUACCGGAUAAUGUCUUCGGACCAAAGAUUUAUCGCCCUUCGUUGGGCCCGAGUUGAAUUAGCUUGUUGGUAGGGUAAAAGCCUAACAAGGCGACGAUGCGUAGCUGAUCUGAGAGGGUGCUCAGCCACCCUGGAACUGAGACACGGCCCAGACUCCUAAGGGGGGACGCAGUCGGGAAUCUUCCGGGAAGGGCGAAAGGGUGAUGGUGGAACGUCGCGUGAGUAAUGAAGGUCCUCGGAUGGUGGAACGCUGUUAUUCGUGAGGAACAAAUGUGUAAGUAACCGUGCACGUCAUGACGGUACCUAAUCAAAAAGCUACGGCUAACUCCGUG